GGAACAUACCCUUUCCUGCAGGAAUAGCUCCGGGAUACUAGAAUUAGAUACCGCAUACGCCCUACGGGGGAAAGAUUUAUCGGGAAGGACUGGCCCGCGUUGGAUUAGCUAGUUGGUGGGGUAAAGUCCCAGCAAGGCGAC
rnacentral:rRNA from 1 species